rnacentral:rRNA from 1 species
GUGGCUUUCGGAGCUAACGCGUUAAGUAGACCGCCUGGGGGAGUACGGUCGCAAGAUUAAAACUCAAAUGAAUUGACGGGGGCCCGCACAAGCGGUGGAGCAUGUGGUUUAAUUCGAUGCAACGCGAAGAACCUUACCUACUCUUGACAUCCAGAGAACUUUCCAGAGAUGGAUUGGUGCCUUCGGGAACUCUGAGACAGGUGCUGCAUGGCUGUCGUCAGCUCGUGUUGUGAAAUGUUGGGUUAAGUCCCGCAACGAGCGCAACCCUUAUCCUUGUUUGCCAGCGAGUAAUGUCGGGAACUCCAGGGAGACUGCCGGUGAUAAACCGGAGGAAGGUGGGGACGACGUCAAGUCAUCAUGGCCCUUACGAGUAGGGCUACACACGUGCUACAAUGGCGCAUACAGAGGGCGGCCAACUCGCGAGAGUGAGCGAAUCCCAAAAAGUGCGUCGUAGUCCGGAUUGGAGUCUGCAACUCGACUCCAUGAAGUCGGAAUCGCUAGUAAUCGUAGAUCAGAAUGCUACGGUGAAUACGUUCCCGGGCCUUGUACACACCGCCCGUCACACCAUGGGAGUGGGCUGCAAAAGAAGUGGGUAGUUUAACCUUCGGGAGGACGCU